ACGGCGAGUGAAGCGGGAACAGCUCAAAUUUGAAAUCUGGCCCUUGGGUCCGAGUUGUAAUUUGCAGAGGAUGCUUUUGGUGCGGUGCCUUCCGAGUUCCCUGGAACGGGACGCCUUAGAGGGUGAGAGCCCCGUACGGUUGGCCACCAAGCCUGUGUAAAGCUCCUUCGACGAGUCGAGUAGUUUGGGAAUGCUGCUCAAAAUGGGAGGUAUAUUUCUUCUAAAGCUAAAUACUGGCCAGAGACCGAUAGCGCACAAGUAGAGUGAUCGAAAGAUGAAAAGCACUUUGAAAAGAGGGUUAAAUAGCACGUGAAAUUGUUGAAAGGGAAGGAUUUAUGACCAGACUUUUUCUGGGGGGAUCAUCCGGUGUUCUCACCGGUGCACUUCCCCCAGUUGAGGCCAGCAUCGGUUUCUGCCGGGGGAUAAAAGCUUUGGGAAUGUGGCUCCUUCGGGAGUGUUAUAGCCCGUUGCAUAAUACCCUGGCGGGGACCGAGGUUCGCGCAUUGCAAGGAUGCUGGCGUAAUGGUUAUUAAUCACCCGUCA
rnacentral:rRNA from 1 species